rnacentral:rRNA from 1 species
GACGAACGCUGGCGGCGUGCCUAAUACAUGCAAGUAGAACGAGUUGCGAACGGGUGAGUAAUGUCUGGGAAACUGCCCGAUGGCGGGGGAUAACUACUGGAAACGGUAGCUAAUACCGCAUACCAUCGGAUGUGCCCAGAUGGGAUUAGCUAGUAGGUGGGGUAACGGCUCAACUAGGCGACGAUCCCUAGCUGGUCUGAGAGGAUGACCAGACACAGUGGGACUGAUACACGGUCCAGACUCCUGCGGGAGGCAGCAGUGGGGAAUAUUGCGCAAGGGGCGCAAGCCUGAUGCAGCCAUGCCGCGUGUAUGAAGAAGGCCUUCGGGUUGUAAAGUACUUUCAGCGGGGAGGCGUUACACGCAGAAGAAGCACCGGCUAACUCCGUGCCAGCAGCCGCGGUAAUUC